GGCUUGGAUUACAAACUUUUAAAAGAAUGUUGCUCAAGCAGAUGUGAAAUAGAAGUAUUCAGACAUUUGGAGUUUUGUAGGAAGCAUGUAGCUCACGAUUUUUCUGUCAUUUUUAAAGAUUUGGUGCAGUGCUCAUGAAUAGGUAGAACCUAAUACAGUACUUGAGAGAGGACUCGAAAGCUUACUUGAUAAGGUUAAUUCAGAUACUUAAGCUGGCGAAUAAAGAGGACAUACGGCCACUGAAUCAGACAUCUACAUUGUCUCCACCUGGACAUGAAUCCUGGUUGAUUAAGUCUGAUGAAUCUAUACGUCUCCCAAUACGGUGCAAAGACUUUUUUGUGAACUGGAUACGGUGCAGAGACUUCAUAGAACAGUUAUUGGCCAAAACGAAGUUGUCCUAGCUAUUGGGGGUGAUUGGUUUGGUUGUAACUGUAGAAAAUUUACUGUAAGAUUUAAGCUGUAGAAUUUUUUGAUUUAGCUUUAAGUGAUGUAGAUUUAAAAUAUAUUGCUGCAGCAACAUAUUUCCUACAGCAAAAAUAA